GAUGAACGCUAGCGACAGGCUUAACACAUGCAAGUCGAGGGGCAGCAAUUUGUAGCAAUACAAAGUUGCGACCGGCGCACGGGUGAGUAACGCGUAUGCAACCUACCCACAACAGAAGAAUAAUCCGGCGAAAGUCGGUCUAAUACUUCAUAAAACAGGGACACCGCAUGGUGUUAUUUGUUAAAGAUUUAUCGGUUGUGGAUGGGCAUGCGUACCAUUAGGUAGUUGGUGAGGUAACGGCUCACCAAGCCUACGAUGGUUAGGGGUUCUGAGAGGAAAGUCCCCCACACUGGUACUGAGACACGGACCAGACUCCUACGGGAGGCAGCAGUGAGGAAUAUUGGUCAAUGGGCGAGAGCCUGAACCAGCCAAGUCGCGUGAAGGAUGACGGCCCUAUGGGUUGUAAACUUCUUUUGCAGGGGAAUAAAGAUAUUCACGUGUGGGUAGUUGUAUGUACCCUGCGAAUAAGCAUCG
rnacentral:rRNA from 2 species